rnacentral:rRNA from 1 species
UACGUAUGGUGCAAGCGUUAUCCGGAUUUACUGGGUGUAAAGGGAGCGCAGGCGGCACGGCAAGCCUGAUGUGAAAACCCGGGGCCCAACCCCGGGAGUGCAUUGGGAACUGGCAAGCUAGAGUGUCGGAGAGGCAGGCGGAAUUCCUAGUGUAGCGGUGAAAUGCGUAGAUAUUAGGAGGAACACCAGUGGCGAAGGCGGCCUGCUGGACGAUGACUGACGCUGAGGCUCGAAAGCGUGGGGAGCAAACAGG